GUUUUAAUAGUUUAUAAAAAACCUUGGUCUUGUAAACCAAUAAUGAAUUAAUUUAUUCUUAAAACU
rnacentral:tRNA from 1 species